CUACGGAGGGUGCAAGCGUUAUUCGGAAUCACUGGGCGUAAAGGACGCGUAGGCGGGUUGGCAAGUCAGAUGUGAAAUCCUACAGCUUAACUGUAGAACUGCAUUUGAAACUGCUAACCUAGAGUAUGGGAGGGGGAGAUGGAAUUAGUGGUGUAGGGGUAAAAUCCGUAGAUAUCACUAGGAAUACCGAAAGCGAAGGCGAUCUCCUGGAACAUAACUGACGCUAAGGCGUGAAAGCGUGAGGAGCAAACAGGAUUAGAAACCCUAGUAGUCC
rnacentral:rRNA from 1 species